AACUUAGUGAUUCAACGUAAUCAUGAAGACAUUAUAUGCAACUAUAUUUGCUAUAAUUUCAGUAAGUUUAGCGAUUCACCUUCAUUUUUGUGUGGCAGAUGUGGGCACAGCAACUUUUUAUGGCGCUCCUUAUGUUCGCAAGUAUCGUUAGCUUGAUAAAGCAUUUCACCAGUAUCUUUUGUUUUAGCAACUUCAUGUUAUGGAUACAAUCAGAGGCAAUUUCGAGCAGGCAAUCUUUUUGGAGCGGCUAAUGACACAAUUUGGGACAACCAGGCAGCCUGCGGAAGAAAGUACAGAAUUCGAUGUUUGAGCGGAACAAGUAAUGAAAGAGUUAAUCCAUGCAGAAAAAGAUCACUUGUCGUAAAGAUUCUGGAUUACUGUUCUUCUGCUGGAUGCGAUAAUGGCGAUGCAACUUUUCAUUUAUCUGCGGAUGCGUUUUCUCACAUUGCUCAUGCCUCUGCUAAAAAGAUUAACGUCGAAUAUGAACAAGUGUGAUCCAUCAGACUUGGUCACGAAGAUGUUUGAGGGGCUAAUAACUAGAAUGAAGCUCUAUAUGAAUGGAUUGGGAAAAAUGCACGUGGGCCUCAACUAAAUUGUUUGUAAUUGACUGCUACGUACCAUGGUAUUGAAUAUAUAUAUAUAUAUAUAUAUAUAGUGGU